rnacentral:tmRNA from 1 species
AGUUGAGAUGGGAGUAGCGAGCCGUGGGCCAGGGCCACGUUAAUAACUGGAAACUUAAAUUAAACGCUAAAACAAACAAUAAUUUAGCUUUCGCUGCAUAGUCAGCGGACGUCUUACCACUAGUUUGUCUGUGACUGGUGACUGAGACGAAAACAAAUAGCAGACUACUUUCCAAAGUUGCUUCGACUUGGUAAGGAAACUAAGAAGCUAGUAUCUUUAAGAUUUUGUCUCUAGAAGCCUAAAGAUGCGAACUCCAAAGUAGAGACUGCGCUCGGAGAUACUGCUGUUAAGAUGCCUUCGGACGGGGGUUCGACUCCCCCCGCCUCCACCA